CUCCUUUUUUGCCCCGUGUAAACUUAGUUGAUGCGAAUAAAAUCAGUUGAAUCACCCUGUGACGGAAACGAUUCGUUUCCUCUAUGUAUUAAUCGGAUUUUUGAACUUGGAGUACGGUGCUGGAGCUUGCUCCACCCUGCUCAUGGGUUGGUCCCUUGGUAUUGCAUUGCCUCCAGGUUCGGCUCACGUUUC
rnacentral:snRNA from 1 species